GGGAUAACACCUGGAAACAGAUGCUAAUACCGCAUAACAACUUGGACCGCAUGGUCCGAGUUUGAAAGAUGGCUUCGGCUAUCACUUUUGGAUGGUCCCGCGGCGUAUUAGCUAGAUGGUGGGGUAACGGCUCACCAUGGCAAUGAUACGUAGCCGACCUGAGAGGGUAAUCGGCCACAUUGGGACUGAGACACGGCCCAAACUCCUACGGGAGGCAGCAGUAGGGAAUCUUCCACAAUGGACGAAAGUCUGAUGGAGCAACGCCGCGUGAGUGAAGAAGGGUUUCGGCUCGUAAAACUCUGUUGUUAAAGAAGAACAUAUCUGAGAGUAACUGUUCAGGUAUUGACGGUAUUUAACCAGAAAGCCACGGCUAACUACGUGCCAGCAGCCGCGGUAAUACGUAGGUGGCAAGCGUUGUCCGGAUUUAUUGGGCGUAAAGCGAGCGCAGGCGGUUUUUUAAGUCUGAUGUGAAAGCCUUCGGCUCAACCGAAGAAGUGCAUCGGAAACUGGGAAACUUGAGUGCAGAAGAGGACAGUGGAACUCCAUGUGUAGCGGUGAAAUGCGUAGAUAUAUGGAAGAACACCAGUGGCGAAGGCGGCUGUCUGGUCUGUAACUGACGCUGAGGCUCGAAAGUAUGGGUAGCAAACAGGAUUAGAUACCCUGGUAGUCCAUACCGUAAACGAUGAAUGCUAAGUGUUGGAGGGUUUCCGCCCUUCAGUGCUGCAGCUAACGCAUUAAGCAUUCCGCCUGGGGAGUACGGCCGCAAGGCUGAAACUCAAAGGAAUUGACGGGGGCCCGCACAAGCGGUGGAGCAUGUGGUUUAAUUCGAAGCUACGCGAAGAACCUUACCAGGUCUUGACAUACUAUGCAAAUCUAAGAGAUUAGACGUUCCCUUCGGGGACAUGGAUACAGGUGGUGCAUGGUUGUCGUCAGCUCGUGUCGUGAGAUGUUGGGUUAAGUCCCGCAACGAGCGCAACCCUUAUUAUCAGUUGCCAGCAUUAAGUUGGGCACUCUGGUGAGACUGCCGGUGACAAACCGGAGGAAGGUGGGGAUGACGUCAAAUCAUCAUGCCCCUUAUGACCUGGGCUACACACGUGCUACAAUGGAUGGUACAACGAGUUGCGAACUCGCGAGAGUAAGCUAAUCUCUUAAAGCCAUUCUCAGUUCGGAUUGUAGGCUGCAACUCGCCUACAUGAAGUCGGAAUCGCUAGUAAUCGCGGAUCAGCAUGCCGCGGUGAAUACGUUCCCGGGCCUUGUACACACCGCCCGUCACACCAUGAGAGUUUGUAACACCCAAAGUCGGUGGGGUAACCUUUUAGGAACCAGCCGCCUAAGGUGGGACAGAUGAUUAGGGUGAAGUCGUAACAAGGUAGCCGUAGGAGAACCUGCGGCUG
rnacentral:rRNA from 1 species